GAGUAGUAAUAGUUAUGGUCUUGAAACUUAAAGAAUUUGGCGGUAUUUUAAUCUAUUCAGAGGAACCUGUUCUGUAAUCGAUAAUCCACGAGGAUUUUACUUAAGCUUGUUUUUCAAUUUGUAUACCGCCGUUAUUGAUUAUUUUACAAGAAAAAUAAUUUUCUUUAUUUUUAAAAAAUAUGUCAGGUCAAGGUGCAGUUUAUGUUUAAGGAAGAAAUGGGUUACAAUAAAAUUAUUUAUACGGAUAAUAAGUUGAAAUAUUUAUUUUAAGGUGGAUUUGAUAGUAAAAUUUAAAUUAUAAUAAUUUGAUUUUAGCUCUAAAAUAUGC
rnacentral:rRNA from 1 species